rnacentral:rRNA from 1 species
UCCCGCCUCGGGCCGCGUGUGUCGGCGACGGUGCGCCUCAGUGGUGCAUUUACAGGUGAAGUGCGCCGAGGCUUGUGGCGGCGGCGAGCGGAUCCUCGUCUUGAGGCCACACCUUCACGGGCGUGGUACCCGGACGYGGGGGAAGCUCGUCCGCUCUGCAUGUGCGAGAGUGCGGUUGAGGCGGUGCGGUGACGUUGCGCUCGCUAGUWACGGUCGCAUGCGACGCGUGCUAGUUGAGCGCUUCGAAGCKGCGCCGGCUUUCGCGCUCGUCCUCGGUGUGAGAGUCGGUCAUCUCUCCGACCCGUCUUGAAACACGGACCAAGGAGUUUAGCGUGUACGCGAGUCAUUGAGUGUGAAACUCAAAGGCGUAAUGAAAGUGAAGCUAUGGUGAUGUGCGAUCGAGUGUGCCACGGUGCGCUCGAGCAGCAUAGCCCCGUCCCGAUCGCUUGCGAUGGGGCGGAGGUAGAGCGUAUGCGCUGAGACCCGAAAGAUGGUGAACUAUUCCUGAGCAGGACGA